AGGGUAGGUGUGAGGACUGAGUGCCAGGAGCCCACGUGGCGCAGUAGGCACACGCAAUAAAGGUGUGCAGUCUUGUUUUCAUGUAUGAUGAUCAACAGCUCCCGGGAGUUAGAAGACUAGGCAUGGGCCACAAGUGCUAUGGAUCUUCCUCAGAAGAACAUGGAGUUGCUUCUGUGGAACUGGUUAUCUGCCAUGGCCUCAGCAAUCCAUAAAUCCAUGCGUGGAGAGGAUUCCCAUGGUCAGAAGUCAACUUGUACAUCUAGUUAAAAUCCAAGGGCAGAGGGAGCUGUGAGUCUAAAUGCUGAGAACUGGAAGGAGCUUGGUGCCUUUGAGGAACUGAGGGUGGAAGAACCAGAGUGUCCUGAAGGAGCUGCCAGUAAGAAGUGAGAUAGAUGAAGGACCUGGAAUUCAAAGAAGUAAAUUGUUCUGGAACCCAAGUCUUCUAUUUUGAGUUCAAACUUGUAGGUCCACCGUAUUAUCGGAACAUGUCUUCCUGUUGUCUUAUUUAAAACAACUUGUCUAGGAAGAAAAUUUCCUUUAAUAAGCUUCAUCUGAGUUCCAAGGAGGAUAGAAACAAUUAUAGUCUAUUCAGUGUGGGGUUGAUGAUAGUGGCACCUAAAGAAGAGAUACUGAUACCCCGUCUCAAUGACAAUUCUUCAGUAGUUGUUUAAUAAUUUAUAUGUCAUGUGAUGACUGUUGAACAAAUUGUUGAUUUAUAUUUUUAUGUAUGUGAGUACAAAUAUACACAUAUUUGGUGGAAAAAAAAGCUGAGUGGAAUAAUUUAGUCUAAGA